GCUGCUCGAGUGAUGGCCACUAUUACUGGGUUUAAAGCGUCCGUAGCUUGACUGUUAGGUCUCUUGGGAAAUCUUCACGCUCAACGUGAAGGCGUCUAAGAGAUACCGGCAGUCUUGGAACUGGGAGAGGUAAACCGUACUUCGGGGGUAGGAGUGAAAUCUUGUAAUCCUCGAGGGACGACCUAUGGCGAAGGCAGUUUACCAGAACAGCUUCGACAGUGAGGGACGAAAGCUGGGGGAGCAAACGGGAUUAGAUACCCCGGUAGUCCCAGCCGUAAACAAUGUGCGUUAGGUGUGUCGGUAACCACGUGUUACUGAUGCGCCGAAGAGAAAUCGUGAAACGCACCACCUGGGAAGUACGGUCGCAAGGCUGAAACUUAAAGGAAUUGGCGGGGGAGCACCACAACAGGUGGAGCCUGCGGUUUAAUUGGAUUCAACGCCGGACAUCUCACCGGAUAAGACAGCUGAAUGAUUGUCAAUCUGAAGGUUUUACAUGACUAGCUGAGAGGAGGUGCAUGGCCGUCGUCAGUUCGUACUGUGAAGCAUCCUGUUAAGUCAGGCAACGAGCGAGACCCACGCCGACAAUUGCCAGCAGCAUCUCCGGAUGGCUGGGGACAUUGUCGGGACCGCCUCUGCUAAAGAGGAGGAAGGAAUGGGCAACGGUAGGUCAGCAUGCCCCGAAUUAUCCGGGCUACACGCGGGCUACAAUGGACGGGACAAUGGGUAACAACACCGAAAGGUGCAGUCAAUCUCCUAACCCCGUCCUUAGUUAGGAUUGCGGGUUGCAACUCACCCGCAUGAAUCUGGAAUCUGUAGUAAUCGCGUUUCACUAUAGCGCGGUGAAUACGUCCCUGCUCCUUGCACACACCGCCCGUCAAACCACCCGAGUGGGGUCUGGAUGAGGCGGCAGUUUAUGCUG
rnacentral:rRNA from 1 species